UGAGUACGAGAUGCUACGGCAUCGAAGCAGUCUAUGUCAUACUUCCAAGAAAAGCUUGCACUGUCAGAAACAGAUAAUGCCUGUACCAUAACCGACACAGGUGGGUAGGUAGAGUAUACUAAGGGGCGCGAGAUAACUCUCUCUAAGGAACUCGGCAAAAUGACUCCGUAACUUCGGGAGAAGGAGUGCCUUAUUUUUAAGGUUGCAAUAACAAGAUCCAAGCAACUGUUUACCAAAAACACAGGUCUCCGCUAAGUCGUAAGACGAUGUAUGGGGGCUGACGCCUGCCCAGUGCCAGAAGGUUAAAGAAGUCGGUUAGCAUUCGCGAAGCUGGUAACUGAAGCCCUGGUGAACGGCGGCCGUAACAAUAACGGUCCUAAGGUAGCGAAAUUCCUUGUCGGGUAAGUUCCGACCCGCACGAAAGGCGUAAUGAUUUGGAUACUGUCUCGGAGAGGGGCUCGGUGAAAUAGACUUGUCUGUGAAGAUGCGGACUACCUGCACCUGGACAGAAAGACCCUAUGAAGCUUUACUGUAACUUGAAAUUGAAAUUGGACUUUAUUUGCGCAGUAUAGGUGGGAGGCGUUGAAAAUAUUCUUGCGGGAAUAUUGGAGCCAUCAGUGAGAUACCACUCUUGUAAUGUUAGAUUUCUAACUUUAUAUCAUUAUCUGGUUAAAGAACAGUUUCAGGCGGGCAGUUUGACUGGGGCGGUCGCCUCCCAAAUGGUAACGGAGGCGCACAAAGGUUUCCUCUGAACGGGUAGAAAUCGUAUCUAGAGUGUAAAGGCAUAAGGAAGCUUGACUGUGAGACCUACAGGUCGAGCAGGGACGAAAGUCGGUCUUAGUGAUCUGACGGUGCUGAGUGGAAAGGCCGUCACUCAACGGAUAAAAGUUACUCUGGGAUAACAGGCUGAUCUCCCCCAAGAGUUCACAUCGACGGGGAGGUUUGGCACCUCGAUGUCGGCUCAUCGCAUCCUGGGGCGGUAGUACGUCCCAAGGGUUGGGCUGUUCGCCCAUGAAAGCGGUACGCGAGCUGGGUUCAGAACGUCGUGAGACAGUUCGGUCCAUAUCCGGUGUAGGCGUUAGAAUAUUGAGAGGAGCCUUCUUUAGUACGAGAGGACCGAGAAGGACAUACCUCUGGUGUACCAGUUAUCGUGCCAACGGUAAACGCUGGGUAGCUAUGUAUGGAGUGGAUAACCGCUGAAAGCAUCUAAGUGGGAAGCCCACCUCAAGAUAAG
rnacentral:rRNA from 1 species